GACGAACGCUGGCGGCGUGCCUAAUACAUGCAAGUCGAACGCUUUUUCUUUCACCGGAGCUUGCUCCACCGAAAGAAAAAGAGUGGCGAACGGGUGAGUAACACGUGGGUAACCUGCCCAUCAAAAGGGGAUAACACUUGGAAACAGGUGCUAAUACCGUAUAACACUAUUUUCCGCAUGGAAGAAAGUUGAAAGGCGCUUUUGCGUCACUGAUGGAUGGACCCGCGGUGCAUUAGCUAGUUGGUGAGGUAACGGCUCACCAAGGCAACGAUGCAUAGCCGACCUGAGAGGGUGAUCGGCCACACUGGGACUGAGACACGGCCCAGACUCCUACGGGAGGCAGCAGUAGGGAAUCUUCGGCAAUGGACGAAAGUCUGACCGAGCAACGCCGCGUGAGUGAAGAAGGUUUUCGGAUCGUAAAACUCUGUUGUUAGAGAAGAAACAAGGAU
rnacentral:rRNA from 1 species